AAAGAAACAGUGCCUGUUACCACUCCAACAAAGCUUCCAGUAGUGCUCCAGGCAUAGCACCACACACAGAGAGAAGAGGUCUUAACAGCCAAGCUCAGAUCUUUCAAGCAGGUGGACAGAAGCAAUUGAACUUUGGCAGGUGACACCAGUGAUCUGCAGCUUUGGAGGCUUUUACUUCCAAAGGGAUCUGUGGCUAGAGCCCUGUGGAAAUCAGACUUUGCUUCAAGCUAUAUGUGAAGUUCCUGUGGAGCCAGCCCUUUCCCAAAGCUCAUAGAAGGAAUGCAGCUGAGUAUGAGGUAAUAGCAGGGCAGCUCCAAGGAUAUUACAGGAUUGUGGGGAGAGCAAAGAAAAUGAUUGAUCAUAUAAAAUCCCCUGGAAAUGCUUCCCUCAUAAAGAGCUGUCCUCUGUUAGCUGACACACAGGUUGUUAAUCUUUCCCUUUCCUCUAAAACAGGGAAUGUGGCAAUAUAUCUUUAUGGCAGAGCAGUUUUUCUGUGUCCACAGGCUCUCUCGUUGCAGCUCUGUGCAUUGGAUUAGUUGAGCUGUGUGCCACUGUAACCUUCUGUGGCCGUCUUCUGAUGUAACUCCUUCUUCCAAACAUUGUGAGCAGUCACCUCAUCUCCUGGGUGGCUGCUCUGCACAUCUUUUUUCCAUUAUAUUAGUAGUAAAUGAACCAGCAGUUGUGAAUCUUCAGCAUCCCCCUCUCCUGACUGGCAACUCUUCCUCUCCU